rnacentral:rRNA from 1 species
CCUACGGGGGGCAGCAGUGGGGAAUAUUGCACAAUGGGGGAAACCCUGAUGCAGCGACGCCGCGUGAGUGAAGAAGUAUUUCGGUAUGUAAAGCUCUAUCAGCAGGGAAGAAAUAAAGUCCUUCGGACUUUGGACGGUACCUGACUAAGAAGCCCCGGCUAACUACGUGCCAGCAGCCGCGGUAAUACGUAGGGGGCAAGAGUUAUCCGGAUUUACUUGGUGUAAAGGGAGCGUAGACGGCAGCGCAAGUCUGGAGUGAAAUCCCAUGGCUUAACCAUGGAACUGCUUUGGAAACUGUGCAGCUGGAGUGCAGGAGAGGUAAGCGGAAUUCCUAGUGUAGCGGUGAAAUGCGUAGAUAUUAGGAGGAACACCAGUGGCGAAGGCGGCUUACUGGACUGUAACUGACGUUGAGGCUCGAAAGCGUGGGGAGCAAACAGGAUUAGAUACCCCGGUAGUC